UCGAGUCACUUUCUUGUGACUAACUUGCUUGCGGAAGAGAAAAAAACUUUGAUUCUGUGCGGCUUUCGCUAUUACACUGCAUUUACCGACACCAACUGGAGAGGAGUGUGAACCAUUGACAGAUAAAGUAAUAAAUAAUAAUAAUCAUACAAAUAAAAUAGAAAAUAAAUUAUUCCAGGCUAUAUUCUGUUAAACCGUCCUGUUUCCCGUAGAUAGCUCCAAUCCCUCAGUCAGGCUACAACACUAUAAACCACUAAAAACCAUUGACUGGAAAUAUGCUUAUUACUGAUAACUUAUUAAUUCCUAUGUAACUUGAUGAUUCUUUAAACAUACUAUUUCUCUGUUAAUGAAUCAACACAUGCUCAACUGUUUCUGCCAAUCUACGUUGUUUCCUUAUGAGAAAGAGAUUACUUGUGAGUUAUUAAGGGAUCCAUCUGUAAAUACUUGUAAUAUUCCUGACAUAGGUCCUGACCCCUAACCCUAAUCUAGUUAUGCAAUGAAAAUUAAUCAUACUGUAGUCCCAACUAAAUUAAAGUUAACCUAACAUUUUACACAUUUAAGUGAAUUGUACAAUCAAAUUAACGUGUGAUAUUGAAAGACAGCAAAAAUCCUUAUUUAUGUAUAUUAAAUAUACUCAUAUAUACAUAAUCCUUGUUUAUCAAUGAUGCAUGAUGGGUUAGAAUCAGUUUCCUCUGAAACCUCUGAACUGCGACUCUUUGACUGUUUUUAGAUUUGAGACUUUUUUUUAGAUAAAAUCAUGUUCCUAUUGAAGUCUGACCACAGCAAGUUUCAGUUUUACUCAGAAGUUAAGCUGCUAAUGUCACAGCUCACAGCUCACGCAGCGUGAAAUAGCAAACAAUCUUUUCAGUUGUUUUCCCACAUACAGUACAUUGAUAUAAUUGAUCACCCCAUAAUUCAACUGAAUUAUAAAACCAUUUUGAGGUCAUUAAGCUCCUUCUACCCAUACAAUUCAAGAUGAUUCACACACUAGACAUCUACAUAUGAAUGAUACAAAAAUAUGUAUUUUACAGUAUUAUGAGCCAGAAGAGUAUAAUGCAACUACAUGAGGGGCGUUCAGAUGUGUGAACUUGGAGGGCUACACUUUGUUGUGGGAGGAUUCACACCAGCUUAAGUGUUUCCAGCAGAUAGUUUUACAUCAGACACUGAACUGCUGAACAAAAUGUUUCACGUUCUUGUUUUAUUCUGUUUGUGCUGGUGCCAUCUGAUCGGUGUGUUUAGUGAAUCAGUGUCAGUGAUGGAGGGAGAUACCGUCACUCUAAACACUGAUCUCACUAAAAUACAUGAAGACGACGACAUACUAUGGAAAUAUGGACCUAAAAAGUCUCUUAUAGCUAAAAUCAGCAUUGGGAACCGAAUCUUCACCACAUAUGAUGACGUUCCUGAUGGGAGAUUCAGAGACAGACUGAAGCUGGACGAUCAAACUGGAUCUCUGAUCAUCACACACACCACAACUGAACACACUGGAGUUUAUAAACUAGAGAUAAAUGGAGCAAAACUGACAUCAAAAACAUUCAGUGUUUCUGUCUAUGGAAUGAGUGUAUUGUCCAGCAUCAGUGUGUGUGAUCUCAG